rnacentral:tRNA from 1 species
GCCCGCAUAGCUCAGUCGGUAGAGCGCCUCCAUGGUAAGGAGGAGGUCGGCGGUUCAAGUCCGCCUGCGGGCUCCA